GGCCUUGCCACACAUCUAGUAAGUAUUCGAGGGAAGAUUUGAACUCGGGCCUUCCUGACGCCAAAUCUUUCACCCUAUUGUGUCACCCAGCUGCCAAGAUACUCAGAAUAUUGGGAUUGAAAGGAAACAAGCGUUCAUCUGCCUAAUUUUACAGAUGAGAAAACUGAGACAUCAACAGAGGUGUAGGGAGUUGGCCGCAGUCACACAGAAAGUCAGUGGCAGGGAUGGGGAGCUGUGAAAGUGUUCUCUGAGUCUGUGCAUGUGUAUGUCCUCUCAGCACUGUGAAUUAUCUGAGCAAAAGGCCGAUCUUCCAGCUCUCCCCACAACCCCUUAAUGCUCAGUAUAGGGCGAAGCACAUGCAGUGAAUGAGGCUGCUGGCUGCCUCUGGGGAGAGAGCUCUUUCUGGUCCCAUUUUUAGAGCCCCCAUUGUCUGAGGCCCAGGUGUUUCCUUCCUGGCUGCCCUGGUUUUGUCUUAGCCCCUGUUCUUUUCCUGGGGAAUCGGCAUUAAAUAGAAUUUCUCCCCCAGGGCUCCUAAGAUCCCGUGGCUGACUAAGGAGCGGAGACCAACUACUAAUGAUUUUGUUUGCUAUAUUCUUUGGUCCUCGGGGACCACAGCUGGAACCUGGCUCCCUCCACUGCAGCCCAGAAUCCCUAGGUGGCUGCCUUGGAACUGCUCCCUGGCCUUUUGAUCAAUUAAAAGCCCUUCUUGUGGGCCUCUGUCAGCCUCCAAAUGUAUCUAAUUGAUUUAAUUUAUUCUCAGCUCUACUCUCUUUCAGUGUUGAGCUUUUAUAUCUUCCCCUUUCAGAGUGGGGUGGGGGUGUGGGGAAGGCAGUGCAGAUUCAAAGCCUAGUGCUAAAUCUGGGGCUCAGCAGGGGCUCUCCUGCUGGCACUUUUCCUGGUUUUGAGGUGAAACCCAGAAAGGCACCCCAGUCUUGGAGGGAGUAGUGAAAUAGCUUUCCUCUCCUUCCCUCCUUCCCUCUCUUCUAAGUGACUCAGAGCUGUUGUGUUGUUCUGCUUCUUUUUUGAAAUUUCCAGGUCCUGUAAUUAAUUUGUGCACGUGUGUAUGUGUGUGUGUGUGUGUGUGUGUGUUUCUGGGCAUCCUGUGGAAAUGGAGAGAUUUCUGUUCCCCUCCAUUCCUUUCCCUCUGCCCCUCUGCUGGCUGUUUUUCUGUGUCCUGCCUGUGAGUGUUGGGGUAGGGGUUGGAAUGGGAGGGAGGAAUGGGCAGAACACAGAAAUCUUUCUCUCCUUCCAGGGCAUCUCAGCUGUUUUCUGAACCCAGGAUCCUCUCUGCCUACCCAUGACCCUCUAGAAGCCUGUGUGUGGCUGUCUGCCAGAGACAAUCACAGCUGUCCAAACCAGCCCACAGGCCUGCAGUGAGGACCUCAAGAGACAGUGGGUAGGGAAUCACUUUGGAAACAUCUAAAGAACGGACAUCCAGGAGCUGAUGUACCACACCUAGUUGUACCAUCUUCACACAGUUGCUGUCUGCAAGGGGAGAGGAGCUAACAUUAGUCAGUCAAUCCACAAACAUUUAUGGAGAAGUGGGAAAAUUGGAAGACUAAUGCAUCGUUGGUGGAGC